rnacentral:rRNA from 1 species
UACAGAGGUGGCAAGCGUUGUUCGGAAUUACUGGGCGUAAAGGGCGCGUAGGCGGUUCGUUAAGUCCUGUGUGAAAUCCCCCGGCUCAACUGGGGAACUGCACAGGAAACUAGCGGGCUUGAGUUCGGGAGAGGGAAGCGGAAUUCCGGGUGUAGCGGUGAAAUGCGUAGAUAUCCGGAGGAACACCGGUGGCGAAGGCGGCUUCCUGGACCGACACUG